rnacentral:rRNA from 1 species
UACGUAGGGUGCAAGCGUUGUCCGGAAUUAUUGGGCGUAAAGAGCUCGUAGGCGGCUUGUCGCGUCGGCUGUGAAAACCUGGGGCUCAACCCCGGGCCUGCAGCCGAUACGGGCAAGCUAGAAUUCGGUAGGGGAGACUGGAAUUCCUGGUGUAGCGGUGAAAUGCGCAGAUAUCAGGAGGAACACCGGUGGCGAAGGCGGCCAGCUGGGCCGUCCCUGACGCUGAGGCGCGAAGGCGUGGGGAGCGAACGGG